GACGUAGGAGGCGAGCGUUGUCCGGAUUCAUUGGGCGUAAAGAGCGCGCAGGCGGCUUGGUAAGUCGGAUGUGAAAUCCCGAGGCUCAACCUCGGGUCUGCAUCCGAUACUGCCCGGCUAGAGGUAGGUAGGGGAGAUCGGAAUUCCUGGUGUAGCGGUGAAAUGCGCAGAUAUCAGGAGGAACACCGGUGGCGAAGGCGGCAUCCUGGACCGGCAUUGACGCUGAGGCGCGAAAGCCAGGGGAGCAAACGGG
rnacentral:rRNA from 1 species